rnacentral:rRNA from 1 species
AUCCUGGCUCAGGAUGAACGCUAGCUACAGGCUUAACACAUGCAAGUCGAGGGGCAGCAUGAGCUUAGCUUGCUAAGUUCGAUGGCGACCGGCGCACGGGUGAGUAACGCGUAUCCAACUUCCCCUUAGUAGGGCAUAGCCCGGCGAAAGUCGGAUUAAUACCCUAUGUUUUCCGUUGCAGGCAUCUAAUAUGGAACAAAGGUUCACCGCUAAGGGAUGGGGAUGCGUCUGAUUAGGUAGUCGGCGGGUAACGGCCCACCGAGCCUUCGAUCAGUAGGGGUUCUGAGAGGAAGGUCCCCCACAUUGGAACUGAGACACGGUCCAAACUCCUACGGGAGGCAGCAGUGAGGAAUAUUGGUCAAUGGGCGAGAGCCUGAACCAGCCAAGUAGCGUGCAGGAUGACGGCCCUAUGGGUUGUAAACUGCUUUUAUGCGGGGAUAAAGUCGCCUACGUGUAGGUGUUUGUAGGUACCGCAUGAAUAAGGACCGGCUAAUUCCGUGCC